GGUUUGGUAGUUAAAGGGUAUAACAUCUAGCUCAUAACUAGGAGAUUGUAGGUUCAAUCCCUGCCCAAACCA
rnacentral:tRNA from 1 species